GGCGCGCGAGGGGCAUGGGGUGCGGGCGUGAGCACGAGCGGCGGCACCUAGGGUUUUCCCUUCUUUUUUGCUGAAAAAGAUUUAAGUUUUUGGGCUUGUAAUUUUGGGCUAGGGUUUAGGUUUUUUGGCAUGUUGUAAAUGGACUCUGUAUUUAGACUAUUGUUUAUUGGGCCCCGGGCUAAAAUUGGGCCCUACAAUAACGAUCAUUAUUAAGGUUGAUACGAGUUACUAUUAAUUUCUAGUAACACUUACCCUUAGAAAUAAUCACUUGGAUUAGUGAUUCGAUUCCCACGUUAAUGGUCUAUCAAGUUGGUGUCGAUCGGCCCUUCAAUAAACAUGACAUACGAGAUGUUAAUACUUGAGAAAUAAUUCACUAUGACCUUAAAAAUAUUCAGUCAAGAGAAAAGUAAGGAGAUUUCUACUCAACCCUUACACUUACACUAACUUGGUUGAAACGGGAGGAUUGACGAAUCAUCUUGAACACGAAUUGAAAAGGAACGAAGGAUCUAAAGAGGAGGACUAUUUUUGAAAAUAGGCCAAUGAAAAAGUUUACGAUUAAGAACUAAUUAAAAAUAAAUAAUGCAAAAAAAAAAUUAUGACUAAAAAAAAUAAGAUAGGUUGAAAAUUGAAGAAGAAAAGAGGAAGAAUCUCAACCGUUGGCGGUGGUGCUAUGGCGGCGACGGUUUAGCAACAGAGGCAGCAGUUCAACAGAGGAGAAGAAAAGAAUAUGGGUUCGGUCACUCACUUAAAAGAAGAGAAAGGAAAAGAGAGAAAAAUAUGAAAAAGAUAAGAGUUUCAAUGGUUGUCGUGGUGGUGGAGGGUGGCACUAAGGGCGGCAGUGAAACAAAAAGAAGAUGAGAAGAGGAUGAUGGAUGAUGAAAUGGUGGUGUUUAGGUCGAAUGGUGGUGGUUAACGAUGGAGGAAAGGAGGCCAAAAUCAAAAUAAUGGUAGUUCAAGUUGGUGCAAGAGGUAAGAGUGAGAUAGAGAUAAAAAAGAGGAGCAAUGAGGGGAAUGGCAAUGAAAAUGAAAAGAAUGAAAAAUGGAAAAAGAAAAUAGUGUUCUUCAUCUUAUCUAGGUUCAAUGAACAUCACAAGGUAAGAGUGAAG
rnacentral:lncRNA from 1 species